AGAGUAGCAAAAAAGUUGAAGUCAAUGAGAAACUGAAUACUACCAAUGAGUCUGUACUAAUAUGACUUCACAGCCUCCCGGAUAUCCAGAUCAUUCAUAUUGUAAAUGCUCAGUUGAGGAAGAUAAGCAUUUUGGUUUUGGAAAUGUCACCACAAUAAGAUCUACAGAUGGGCAAAGAUUUCCUAUUGUAGUAGAAGAUGAACACACACCACAUGAAAAAGGCAAACCUGAGGAUGAUGGUAAUUUUCUGCCACAAGGGCAACAAACUGAUGUUAGCAGGUAAAGUUUAGUGUAGAUUUAUGAUAAAGGAUCUUUUGGGCUUUAGCUCAUUUACGAGGGUGAUUGAAUAAAUACUUUCACUAAUGGUCUUCCAUAGACACCAUUGUAAAUAACAGCACUGAAGUUUCAUGUACUAGAUGAGGAAUGUUUACUCAACAUACCUGUGAAAUGUCAAUUUAAUUCAUUUA
rnacentral:lncRNA from 1 species